rnacentral:misc_RNA from 1 species
GAGAGGGGCUUCGCGUCCCACGGGGGCCCCGGCCCUCGCCUCUCCACCCUAUGCGUUUCCUCUAUGUGUUGCUUUGGCGGGUUCCGAGGAGCGGCUGUGCCCAAGCCGGUCGACCGGGGAGUGUCCGCCAAUAGCCCUUUUUAAUCCAAUCGACUAGAUACAGUCCGAGCGAUAUCUGAAACCCAUCAAAACUUUCAACAACGGAUCUCUUGGUUCU